UACGUAGGGCGCAAGCGUUAUCCGGAAUUAUUGGGCGUAAAGAGCUCGUAGGCGGUCUGUCGCGUCGGCUGUGAAAACCUGGGGCUCAACCCCGGGCCUGCAGUCGAUACGGGCAGACUAGAGUGCGGUAGGGGAGACUGGAAUUCCUGGUGUAGCGGUGAAAUGCGCAGAUAUCAGGAGGAACACCGGUGGCGAAGGCGGGUCUCUGGGCCGUAACUGACGCUGAGGAGCGAAAGCGUGGGGGAGCGAACAGG
rnacentral:rRNA from 1 species